ACUUCACCGUGCCACGUGGCUUACUUUCUUGUUCUAUUUCACUCUUUGUAACCCUUGAAGCGAAUUUUGUGUUGCCGUUCUGUACAGGUGGAGGCAAUAUUAGACAAGGAGAAUUUCACUUUGGAAGAGCUUCUUGAUGAAGAGGAGGUGAUCCAAGAAUGCAAGGCCUUAAACAGUCGACUCAUCAACUUUCUGAGAGAUCGAGCUCAGGUUGAACAGUUGUUACGCUACAUUAUUGAAGAACCACCAGAAGAUGCUGAAAGCAAACGAACCUUCAAGUUUCCAUUCAUAAA